rnacentral:rRNA from 1 species
UACGGAGGAUGCGAGCGUUAUCCGGAUUUAUUGGGUUUAAAGGGUGCGUAGGCGGGCUUUUAAGUCAGCGGUAAAAAUUCGGGGCUCAACCCCGUCCGGCCGUUGAAACUGGGGGCCUUGAGUGGGCGAGAAGAAGGCGGAAUGCGUGGUGUAGCGGUGAAAUGCAUAGAUAUCACGCAGAACCCCGAUUGCGAAGGCAGCCUUCCGGCGCCCUACUGACGCUGAAGCACGAAGGCGUGGGUAUCGAACAGG